GGGUUGUGAGGUUAAGCGACUAAGCGUACACGGUGGAUGCCCUGGCAGUCAGAGGCGAUGAAGGACGUGCUAAUCUGCGAAAAGCGUCGGUAAGGUGAUAUGAACCGUUAUAACCGGCGAUGUCCGAAUGGGGAAACCCAGUGCAAUUCGUUGCACUAUCGUUAACUGAAUACAUAGGUUAACGAGGCGAACCGGGGGAACUGAAACAUCUAAGUACCCCGAGGAAAAGAAAUCAACCGAGAUUCCCCCAGUAGCGGCGAGCGAACGGGGAGCAGCCCAGAGUCUGAAUCAGCUUGUGUGUUAGUGGAACGGUCUGGAAAGUCCGACGGUACAGGGUGAUAGUCCCGUACACCAAAAUGCACAGGUUGUGAACUCGAAGAGUAGGGCGGGACACGUGGUAUCCUGUCUGAAUAUGGGGGGACCAUCCUCCAAGGCUAAAUACUCCUGACUGACCGAUAGUGAACCAGUACCGUGAGGGAAAGGCGAAAAGAACCCCGGCGAGGGGAGUGAAAAAGAACCUGAAACCGUGUACGUACAAGCAGUGGGAGCACCUUCGGGUGUGACUGCGUACCUUUUGUAUAAUGGGUCAGCGACUUAUAUUCUGUAGCAAGGUUAACCGUAUAGGGGAGCCGCAGGGAAACCGAGUCUUAACUGGGCGUUAAGUUGCAGGGUAUAGACCCGAAACCCGGUGAUCUAGCCAUGGGCAGGUUGAAGGUUGGGUAACACUAACUGGAGGACCGAACCGACUAAUGUUGAAAAAUUAGCGGAUGACUUGUGGCUGGGGGUGAAAGGCCAAUCAAACCGGGAGAUAGCUGGUUCUCCCCGAAAGCUAUUUAGGUAGCGCCUCGUGAACUCAUCUUCGGGGGUAGAGCACUGUUUCGGCUAGGGGGUCAUCCCGACUUACCAACCCGAUGCAAACUACGAAUACCGAAGAAUGUUAUCACGGGAGACACACGGCGGGUGCUAACGUCCGUCGUGAAGAGGGAAACAACCCAGACCGCCAGCUAAGGUCCCAAAGUCAUGGUUAAGUGGGAAACGAUGUGGGAAGGCACAGACAGCCAGGAUGUUGGCUUAGAAGCAGCCAUCAUUUAAAGAAAGCGUAAUAGCUCACUGGUCGAGUCGGCCUGCGCGGAAGAUGUAACGGGGCUAAACCAUGCACCGAAGCUGCGGCAGCGACACUAUGUGUUGUUGGGUAGGGGAGCGUUCUGUAAGCCUGCGAAGGUGACCUGUGAGGGUUGCUGGAGGUAUCAGAAGUGCGAAUGCUGACAUAAGUAACGAUAAAGCGGGUGAAAAGCCCGCUCGCCGGAAGACCAAGGGUUCCUGUCCAACGUUAAUCGGGGCAGGGUGAGUCGACCCCUAAGGCGAGGCCGAAAGGCGUAGUCGAUGGGAAACAGGUUAAUAUUCCUGUACUUGGUGUUACUGCGAAGGGGGGACGGAGAAGGCUAUGUUAGCCGGGCGACGGUUGUCCCGGUUUAAGCAUGUAGGCUGGUUGUCCAGGCAAAUCCGGAUAAUCAAGGCUGAGGUGUGAUGACGAGGCACUACGGUGCUGAAGUAACAAAUGCCCUGCUUCCAGGAAAAGCCUCUAAGCAUCAGGUAACAUUAAAUCGUACCCCAAACCGACACAGGUGGUCAGGUAGAGAAUACCAAGGCGCUUGAGAGAACUCGGGUGAAGGAACUAGGCAAAAUGGUGCCGUAACUUCGGGAGAAGGCACGCUGGUGUGUAGGUGAAGUCCCUGCGGAUGGAGCUGAGACCAGUCGAAGAUACCAGCUGGCUGCAACUGUUUAUUAAAAACACAGCACUGUGCAAACACGAAAGUGGACGUAUACGGUGUGACGCCUGCCCGGUGCCGGAAGGUUAAUUGAUGGGGUUAUCCGUAAGGAGAAGCUCUUGAUCGAAGCCCCGGUAAACGGCGGCCGUAACUAUAACGGUCCUAAGGUAGCGAAAUUCCUUGUCGGGUAAGUUCCGACCUGCACGAAUGGCGUAAUGAUGGCCAGGCUGUCUCCACCCGAGACUCAGUGAAAUUGAACUCGCUGUGAAGAUGCAGUGUACCCGCGGCAAGACGGAAAGACCCCGUGAACCUUUACUAUAGCUUGACACUGAACAUUGAGCCUUGAUGUGUAGGAUAGGUGGGAGGCUUUGAAGCGUGGACGCCAGUCUGCGUGGAGCCAACCUUGAAAUACCACCCUUUAAUGUUUGAUGUUCUAACGUUGGCCCCUUACCGGGGUUGCGGACAGUGUCUGGUGGGUAGUUUGACUGGGGCGGUCUCCUCCCAAAGCGUAACGGAGGAGCACGAAGGUUAGCUAAUCCUGGUCGGACAUCAGGAGGUUAGUGCAAUGGCAUAAGCUAGCUUGACUGCGAGCGUGACGGCGCGAGCAGGUGCGAAAGCAGGUCAUAGUGAUCCGGUGGUUCUGAAUGGAAGGGCCAUCGCUCAACGGAUAAAAGGUACUCCGGGGAUAACAGGCUGAUACCGCCCAAGAGUUCAUAUCGACGGCGGUGUUUGGCACCUCGAUGUCGGCUCAUCACAUCCUGGGGCUGAAGUAGGUCCCAAGGGUAUGGCUGUUCGCCAUUUAAAGUGGUACGCGAGCUGGGUUUAGAACGUCGUGAGACAGUUCGGUCCCUAUCUGCCGUGGGCGCUGGAGAAUUGAGGGGGGCUGCUCCUAGUACGAGAGGACCGGAGUGGACGCAUCACUGGUGUUCGGGUUGUCAUGCCAAUGGCACUGCCCGGUAGCUAAAUGCGGAAGAGAUAAGUGCUGAAAGCAUCUAAGCACGAAACUUGCCCCGAGAUGAGUUCUCCCUGAGACUUUAAGUCUCCUGAAGGAACGUUGAAGACGACGACGUUGAUAGGCCGGGUGUGUAAGCGCAGCGAUGCGUUGAGCUAACCGGUACUAAUGAACCGUGAGGCUUAACCUUACAACGCCGAAG
rnacentral:rRNA from 1 species